rnacentral:rRNA from 1 species
UACGGGGGGUGCAAGCGUUAUCCGGAAUUAUUGGGCGUAAAGAGUGAGCAGGCGGCUGUUUAAGUCUGAAGUCAAAUCUAGGGGCUCAACCCCUAAUCGCUUUGGAAACUGGACGGCUAGAGUACGAGAGAGGUAUGUGGAAUUCCAUGUGUAGCGGUGAAAUGCGUAGAUAUAUGGAGGAACACCAGUGGCGAAGGCGGCAUACUAGCUCGAUACUGACGCUCAUUCACGAAAGCGUGGGUGGCAAAUAGG